UGCCUGCAGAUUGAGAUAUAGUACUC
rnacentral:piRNA from 1 species